rnacentral:rRNA from 1 species
GUAGUCCACGCCGUAAACGAUGGAUGCUUGUCGUUGGAUUGGACAAUCCAUUCAGUGACGAAGCUAACGCGUUAAGCAUCCCGCCUGGGGAGUACGGUCGCAAGAUUAAAACUCAAAGAAAUUGACGGGGACCCGCACAAGCAGUGGAGCAUGUGGUUCAAUUCGACGCAACGCGAAGAACCUUAUCCUGGUCUUGACAUCCUUGGACAACCGGUGAAAGCCGGCUUUCCCUUCGGGGACCGAGAGACAGGUGCUGCAUGGCUGUCGUCAGCUCGUGUCGUGAGAUGUUGGGUUAAGUCCCGUAACGAGCGCAACCCACGCCUCUUGUUGCCACCAUUAAGUUGGGCACUCUAGAGGGACUGCCAGUGAUAAACUGGA